GAGAAACGAGAUGGGGGUGAAGCUGGAGAUAUUUCGGGUCAGUGGACACAGGAGUGGGUUGGGAGGCUGGGCAGGGGAUCUUCCUGGAUCUGAAGAUGAGGUUGGAAAUGGGGGGACUUCAAAGGAAGAGGGAGCUCCAAGGAGAAAGCUCUUAAGAUUUGAGAGGAACCUUUCUGGUUGGAAAUCCAGGAGAGGGGACGCUGGGCUGGGGGGGUUCUCGGAUUUGGGCUUCUGGGUUUGGGGGCUGUGAGAGGGCUGGUCCGAGGAAGGACCUCAGAGAGGGGUGAGCUGAGAAGGGGGCUCUAAAGAAGGAAGACUUAAGAUCCUGGGGGAGCUCUCGGGCUCGUGGUGGGUGGGUGUCUAUGACAGGGAGAUUCCUAGACUUCGAGAAGUGGAGUUGAAGAGUGACGCCUCCUGGGUUUGGGGGUGCUCCCGGGAUCUUAAGUGGGGAUGGGUAAUGAGGUCUCGAGGAGAUGCUUUUGAUUGUAGCUGGGGCGUCUGUGUGUCUGUCUGUGUUUGAGAGGAAGACUCCAGCUCAGAGGGAACUUUCAGGAAUGAGGCCUCCUGGAUUAUAGGAGUUAGGUUUUAGGGUGCGAGGUUUCUGUACCCUUGGUGGGAGUUCUGGGAUUCUUGGGUCGGCCGUAACGAGGCGCUUCUGGACUCUGCAGUAGGAUGGGUCCCCCAGGCUCUGAGGAGCCUCUGCACAUUGCUUGGGGGGAGCUCACCUCACCCACCCUCUGCCAUUCCAGAUGAUAAUCUACCUCACUUUCCCUGUGGCUAUGUUCUGGGUUUCCAAUCAGGCCGAGUGGUUUGAGGACGAUGUCAUACAGCGCAAGAGGGAGCUGUGGCCACCUGAGAAGCUUCAAGAGAUAGAGGAAUUCAAAGAGAGGUUACGGAAGCGGCGGGAGGAGAAGCUCCUUCGCGACGCCCAGCAGAACUCCUGAGGCCUCCAAGUGGGAGUCCUAGCCCCUCCCCUGAUGAAAUAUACAUAUACUCAGUUCCUUGUUA
rnacentral:lncRNA from 1 species